AUACUUACCUGGCAGGGGGAAUACCACGAUCAAGAAGGUGGUUUCCCCAGGGUGAGGCUCUUCCAUUGCACACUUUGGUUGGGGUGACCCCUGUGAUUUCCCCAAAUGUGGGAAACUCAACUGAGGGGUUGGGAGGAUGGCCUAAUGGUUAAGAUGUCUGCCUUA